rnacentral:rRNA from 1 species
AUUGAACGCUGGCGGCAGGCCUAACACAUGCAAGUCGAGCGGAUGAAGGGAGCUUGCUCCUGGAUUCAGCGGCGGACGGGUGAGUAAUGCCUAGGAAUCUGCCUGGUAGUGGGGGAUAACGUCCGGAAACGGGCGCUAAUACCGCAUACGUCCUGAGGGAGAAAGUGGGGGAUCUUCGGACCUCACGCUAUCAGAUGAGCCUAGGUCGGAUUAGCUAGUUGGUGGGGUAAAGGCCUACCAAGGCGACGAUCCGUAACUGGUCUGAGAGGAUGAUCAGUCACACUGGAACUGAGACACGGUCCAGACUCCUACGGGAGGCCGCAGUGGGGAAUAUUGGACAAUGGGCGAAAGCCUGAUCCAGCCAUGCCGCGUGUGUGAAGAAGGUCUUCGGAUUGUAAAGCACUUUAAGUUGGGAGGAAGGGCAGUAAGUUAAUACCUUGCUGUUCUGACGUUACCAACAGAAUAAGCACCGGCUAACUUCGUG